UUGCUUUGGCAGAACAUAUACUAAAAUUGGAAUGAUACAGAGAAAAUUAGCAUGGCCUCCAUUCAAGAAUGACAUGAAAAUAUAUGGAAAAUUCCAUAUAUAA